ACGAACAGGCACGUAACCGCUUGGAGACCGUCUGGAGUGUGUCUGAAAUUGAUAAAAUUGGAGAUGGAGUUUUUUUUCACACCUCUUUGCUCAUUUACAAGGAAGCCGACUGUUGGAAACGGGAAUUUCCUCUCUCCACCCGAAACGCCUUCGCCCAUGAGUCGCUACGCUCGGCCAAAAAUAAUUUGUAGAUAAACGCUGUGAAAGUUUUUUUCUUCUGCAGUCUAUCAGCAGACAGCUCUUUAUGCACAGGGGACCAGCCUUCAGAGUUCAAGAGGAGUGCACCAUCCAGAAGGCAGUCUGAACCAGCUGAGAAAGGCCUGUCCCAAACCUGAUCCAGUGUCUGACAAAAAUGAUUGGAAUUGCAAUUAGAAAGGAAAUCUGUGUUUUCAUGCAGCCUGUCAUGCCUGUCAUGCCUUCAUGCCUUCAUGCCUUCGACGCUGGAGUGUGUUCACCCAAAUAUGUAGAGAGCUGGUGCUGGACGAGGAGGAAGAUGUCAUACUAAGGAUGGGUUUUGGUGAUGAUGUUGAUGCAGCAUCGAGCUCUCACUUUGUGCCUCUGUCAGCUAUGAUGCGUAACCACAGAGUGAGUGACAGGCCACUCCCCGGGGAGAGCAGGGGGCCUGAGGUGAGUCAGAUGUAUCCUUGACCCUGUCUAGCAGUGUGUCAGCAAACAACACAAACUCUGUAAAGAAGGCCAGAAAUGGCAUGACUGUAUAUUGUACAUCUUCAUUUAGUAUGUAGAAGAAGACUGUAGGAAUCACAACACAACCACCUUGACAGUUUGUGUUUAAGUGAUUUGGUUUUCAUUGCAUAUACUCCCUCAAUUUAUGAAUAAUGAAAUGAUAAUGCAGCAUAUUACAUUACAGCUGAUACCUUUGCUCGCAUCUGUAUUUCCAACAGAGUCUUUGCUUUGUGAUAUUGUUAAGAGUCUGUCUAAAACAUUAACUGGAUUUUGGUUUAUAUUCAAUGAAAAAUGUUUACUUCAGUGAAAUACAGAUCAAGCAAAAAUGCUCAAUGUCAGAACUUUUAAAAAAAGAUGCAGUAAAGUUUUACGUCUGUGUCAGCCUGUGGAGUCAGGACUUUUUAGCUCAGAUUUUGCUUAUAUUUUAAAAUGCAAAGCUGUCAAAGUGGUGCAGAAAGAGACGAACCAACAAUAUUUAAUAACUGAAAAUUCCAAGCUUGGAUUUAAGAAAAGCUUUAUUAGGACACCUACUGUACAUGAAGAAUAAUCAGUGUUUAGUGUAACAAUAACUGAAGGUAAUCUAACUUCACAGAUAAUGUAAUAUGUCAUUAGAUUUGCUUGAUAAACUGAUCAGUGCUAAAUCAAACUUUCAUCCAACCCAAAUGAUGAAGAAAUGUGUGGAGAAACUGUGAAUUGCAGCUUAACAUCAGUCUGACUUACGCAUUACUUGGCUUAUUUUGAUUUGCUUUAAAGCCCAUACGACAUGGAAAUUAAGACGCAAAGACGUCCUGCAUAUUGCUCAAACUAUAGUCUGAAUACUGGUACUAUCAUUAUGAAACAAGUGGUUGAUUAAUCAGUUGUCUAGUCAGUCAACAUAAAUGAACAUAACAUGAACAACAAUUCUAAUAAUUAGUGAAUGGUUUAAGUCAUUUAGCAAGUGAAAAUGCCAAAUGGUUCCUGUUUUCAGCUUCUGAACUGAGGAUUUUCAGUUUUUCUUUGUUUUACAUCAUGGAAACACUAU